GUGCUAUCAAUCCAGUUUAUACUACAUUUCCUCUGAAGAGAAAAACUGGAAUGACAGCUAUCAAGAUUGUUUGAAGAGAGGAGCAAAUCUAACUAUUAUAAACAGCAACAAAGAUAAAGAUUUUUUAAAAACUUACGGUGAAGUCUGGAUUGGUCUAACUAAUAUGGAGGGAACAUGGAAAUGGGUUGAUGGCAGCACACUGACCUCUAGCUUCUGGGCAUCUGGAGAGCCCAAUGGACAUACAAAGAAGGACUGUGCUGUGACUUCAAAGCAUCUUGACAAACCAGAGUGGAACUACUAUCCUUGUAGUUCUGCUUUUAAAUGGAUUUGUGAAAAAUAAAAUCUGUAAUAUGAUCGCUAA